CAGCAGCCGCAGUGGUAUUCCAAAUCCGUUUAAAAAAGCGCGGGAACCCGCCUGGACGCUGGGGAAACAUGACCAAUACUUGAGCUUACUGGUGCGCGGCAUCUCCCCCCAAGUGCCCCGCCAGGCAAGAUACCGUGGACCGCGUAUCUUGAUUUACUCCUAAUGGUCUUGACCCGGAUUCAUCCCCCAGAACCCGG
rnacentral:sRNA from 1 species